CGAGAGAGGAGAGAGGAUACGGAAGCACUAGAAAGAGCCUGUUGGACAGGCGAGGACGCUCCGGUCUUCCCCAGCCUCACUGGGCUGGCCUCCAGGUCUGUGUGUACAACUGCUGCGUGUUGGACCCUGACACACCAGAUGGUGGCGCCAUUUGAAGCUGUACAAAGAUCCUCCCCAAACCACAGACUUUCUCUCUGCCUGCUGAGUCUUUUCCUCUUCUGGUCCAAAGAUAAAAUGAAAAGGAGAGCCGGUUCUAGGUCACCAUGGCAACCACCGGGAAACACCUGUCUCUGUUGGCAAAGGAUGGUUGACAAGGGAGAGAGCUUGAAAAACUACAAACAUCUUGUUUUCAUGGACUUACAGCUAGUUGUCCAAAUAUGUGUAUCAUUUAAGCCCCAAAAGGCUGGACUGUAUGGACCCUCCACAGAAUCCACACGGAUCUGUGAUAUCAACUUAACCAGAGCAAAUAAAUUGGAGGCCUUAGUACGAUAUCUGCUCUCUAGAGGGUUGGCGAGAAGCCUCCCAUGAAGAUACAAGGACACGCUAUAUCAGUGACGUUUGUAGGAGCCCAGUGGUCUGGAGCAUGUCAGGACAUCCCCUCCACAGGUAAGGACACCUAUACACCUGCAGUGAGCCCCUGUGGGUUCUGGAGGCAGCCGGGGAGACUCAUUCCUAGGCAGUAGGGUUGAGCCCAAUGAAACUGGCCACAUGUGCCAGGCUGGACUUCGAGCUUCCAUGGAAGCCACUGCGACAGGCCUUCCCUCCCUCUCCUGUCUCAAUCGGGAGUGUCCACAGCAGUUGUCCUAUGCCUGUCCCACCGUUCUUUCUUGGGAGGUGGGGGUUGGGAGGAGAUACUGUCUCUUUGGAGUUCAUGGGUCUUCCGAUGGAGAGAAACUGUGCAAGAAACUGUACUUGAGAGACCCCAUGGAGGAAGCCGUGCACCUCCACUGACUUCAGUGACACAGCCCUGGACUUUGAGUCCCACAUGAUGCUGAAACAGCAUGAGAUGUUGGGGGCAGGGUGCGGGAAGGGUGAGUGAAUUCUGCCCAUGGGGGUGUAUGAAUUUCUCACCUCACCUGCUCUGCCAGGGUCUUGCCACCCCUCCAGCAAGAGGUGGACUCUUUGUCCCCUCCCCUUGAACUUGAGUGGGCUUUUGUGUGACUGCCUCAACUCUCAGAGGACGGUAGAAGUGAUACUGUAUAACUUUUGAGUUGUCUGCCAUAGGAGUGACACAGCUCUCAUGAAGGGCCAUCGCAGUCCCAUAGCUUCCUGUGGGAUCGACUAUGCACAUGGAGAGGUCAUGGAUGAAUAUGAAGGUCAAGAGAGAGAGAACAAGGCUGAAGAUGUUCAUUUAGGAGAUACCAGGAUGUAUGUGGUUUUAGAAGUCUUGCGUCUGGGUUCUAUGACUUAGAUUAGAGAGGAAGGAGAGAGAGAGAGAAGAGGGCAUAGGGCUGAUCUCUGGGACACCCCAUUACCCAGGUUGCUGCCAGAGAAAGGGAAGUGUGGUCUAGACGCUGGCACAAGAGGGUGCCCCAAAGGCGAGGGCUGCUGAGAGCUGGAGAAGGGGACACCAAAAUGCCUACACAAUUUGAUACCCCAAAGGCCACGGGUGACCCAUCAAGAACGUGUCAGUACAGCCCAGGGGACAAAAGCCAGUGCAGUGGUCUGGGGUUUCAUGCAAGUUAGGAGGUAGAGACAGCAUGUAAGCAACGAAGGGCUGGCCUUCCACCAUCAGACCGAGAGAGAGGACACAAAUGCAGGUAGAUUUAUAUCUGGAAGUAGAAACAUAAGGGCAUUUGCCAAGAUGAGAGAAAGAGAGAGAGAGAGAGAGAGAGAGAGAGAGAGAGAGAGAGAGAGGGAGGGAGGGAGAGAGAGACCCCUAAAUGGCUGCAACCCCAACCAGACGGUCAAUCAACAAACCCAGAAAGCAAGUCCUGACCUGACCUUUCCCCGCUCAGAGCCACUGGCCACUGCAGCUCUCAUUCGUUCUCUGUUUGUCUGGCUCUCCAGGGCUAUCUUCCCAGGUGGCUGUGGGCUCCUGAGCAGGUCUUUUAUUCUUUGGUGUUCUCACUGGUUUCCAGGAAGUGCUUCGUUCCUCAGAGAAGCCCAUGCAACUUGCUGAUUGAGAGCUUGUCAACUUCAGCUAACCAGCUGGAAUUGCUAAGGGCCACGCAGGAAUCCACGCAGUUUAUAAAGAAAUCACAGGGUAGCACAGCUGUUGGAAGUUAACUCGCCAGAGAGUUCAGCACUCUCAGAGAAAGGAGAAGGUUCUAACAGGUCCCCGAGGCAUGUGGCUGGUUGUUCUUGACAAUUAACACAAGCUACAGGUUUCCUGGUAACCGGAGGCUGUGGAUGGUCCCUUGUCUAGUAAACAAAUGAUCUUUACUUCAUGAACUUUCUGGGUACUGCUGCAACUUUAAAAGGAGGCACUCUGUCUAGUGGAGUUCCAAGUUCUUGGGUGUGGGGCUUUUCCCGCCUGAUGUCAGGAGAUGAACCAACCCUCGUAGGAGCAGGAGCUGGGACACCCCUACUCCAUACCCAGCCCUGAUGGGGACCAACUGGCUGCAGCGGUUCUGGCUAUGAUGGUGGGAGCCCUUGCUAUGACCUCAGCCUGAGGUCAGCAGGGCCUAGACUCCAGCUAACACCUUCAGGGAGAGGGGAGCUGUACAGGCUGUCAGCAGAGUUGGGGUGGGGGCAAGAGGUUGGAGAGGCACGGCUGCAGGGAGCAGGUGCCUAUUCUGGCCCCUGUGUGAGGAGCCCCCCGGCAGCAGGGGGGUCACUGCACCCCCAUAUGGAGCAUGGGCAGCUCCGCCAGCCAGGUGGCUGCUGUGUGUGUCAGACAGACUCACCUUUACAUCCCUACCCAGGGUUUUGCAACCACACAGGGAUGAGGCUCAGGACUGGAUGGUUUGCUAGCACUCGCUCGGGGAGACGCAGCCACCUGCCAGGACGGCAUUUACCAGUGACCUGUGACACCAUCCACAGCUGUGGUCAGCAGGCUACUCAGCUUCCUGCAGCCAAGUCCCGACGAGCUAUGCGGCUGCUGCAGAAGGAAAGGACGCAGGCGCCCUCUCAACCCCUGAGGACCGGCUUUUGUCUUCGACUUCACAGACAGCUUAAAAUUGUUACGGAAAAACAUUUUAUUAAACAUGGUCAGCUCGCUUCCAAUGAAAUGAUUCAGUUUUCAUUUACAGUGUGGUGUCCAAUGUUUGUCUCCUGUGUUUUUGUUUUUUGUUUUUUUUUUCCUUUCAAAACCAGCACCAAAACGUCAAAGAAAAAAUACCAUGGGUACAGUACGUAAUGCAAGUUAACUAAUGGAAACUAUAUACAUUUGACUCGGAAGAAAAGAGAACAAAGCAAUGACAGUAUUGCCAUUGAGGGACUUUCAAUGUCAAGCCAUGGUCAACCGACAAGGUUUCAUUCGCACCAAUGAAAAUAGCACCAUAAGAUUGUAAGACUCGUAUAGUGACGGGUUUGUGCAACCAACAAGGUACAGUACUUGAGUGACAGACAGUACAGGGUGUUGUCAACAACAAAGAAACGCCGCUGUUGUAAUCACAGGGUUUCAGUGAUUUCUGAAGAAAGUGGAACCGGAAUGCCACGACGGCCUCCCCGAAAUCAAAUACCACUUGUGGGCUGGUGACUCAGAGGAACCUGCAGGAGCUGAAAGAGCUCAGGAAGACAUGGACUUCGGGGAACCACUGGGGUGUUUCAUAAUCACGGAACCAACCACUUGCUUUCUAAGAGUGUGGGGCCCCUGGCAGGGGCGUCCAGUUAAUAUGGUCAAGGUGACCAGAGAGGAAACUCAGAGGCACCAGGGAAAGCGCUCACCUAGGAGUGUAGAUAUGUGCUCGCCCCGCUCGGCUGGGCCCGCAGACCCAGGAGUUGAGCACGCCAGGCUGCCCCGGUUCCGUCCAUCUGUGAUGAAGCACAGAGCAUUUGGGGGCUGGGAGAAAACUGAAACCUAGCUCCCCAAGAUUUAAGGGUUUUGUGGGAACGGGGCUUUGGGGAGUCUGCUGGUGGCCAAGCCUGAGCUGGGGGUGGGGGUGGGGGGUACAACAGUGUUUUGCACAGGCCCUGGGGCAACGGCUAGAGGGUGACAUUCCCGGGUGAGUGGCCCCAUCCCAGUCUCCUCUCGUUUCUCUCCACAGAGCAGCACCUAAGGAGGUUUCUCUACACUUCUCUUUGAUUUAGGUGGGGCUGCACACAGUCCCUGCCAUCUGCACCCCUUCUCUGCCUCCGGGUAGUGAAAAUCCAAACCCAACACCCAGAUCAUAAGGCAGGCUUGAGACGGCAGAGAGGUUUUUGUUUGUUUUUUUUUCUUCCUGGUGUAAGCCCACCCUCAAGUUGUGACAUCAAAAAUACGAACACAGAUACAUCAGCACAGCACCGACACAUCAAGAAGCACCUAGAGAGGAUCCCAUGAAGAAGGGCCUAUGUGAGAGCCCUCAGAAAUAAGGGAGGAGAAGGUGGGCUUCUCGUGGUCCAGUCCUUAGCACCCAGCAAACACCCAUCAACUCACUCAGCAAAACAGAAUCUCCCGGCAUCUAGGAUCCCUGUUCCCAGGCUAGGGUCCCUUUCUCCCAGCUCCCGGAGUGGGCAAGGGCCUCUCAUUCUCUGUGCUCUCAGAGAGGCCACUCUUGUCAUCUCCCUAGGAUCCAGAGAAGGCACAGUUCUGUUCUGAGGGGCGAGGGGACAUCAGGAGAGGAAGACCUCCUUCAUGCUUUUCUGAGUGUCAUUCUUGCCCCACUAAGAGGAGGGGUCAGCAAUGACAGCAUGGAAGGUCUGGGCUAUAGGAAGGUAUGACAGGUGUGCAGCAAUCCCUGCCAGGUGGCACUUCUCCACUGAUCCUGUCACACCAAGCUGAGCGGCCCCUGGAGGAAACCCGCCCCAUGAUGGGCGAAGCAGUCAGGCCUGAGCUCCAGUCUGCAGAGGUUCUAAAGAUAAUCAACUUCAGAUAGAUGGCCAAGGUCAGUGGGAAGCCACCUAUAAGGUGCAAAGCUUUAUGAAGCACUGGCUAGAGUAGAGGUCCCCAGAAGGCAGAGGGGGAGCCCCUGUACACCCCUGACAAAGCUGUGCUGAGCUCCCCUUUAUGCCAGCAAGCUAUCCCACAGCCCAAAUUAGCACAUGUCCUGUUUCACAGCACCUGGGAGAAAGGCUCUAGAUGUGCCCCCAAACCCAAACCCUUCCAGAACAUUCUCCCCGCAUGGGUGGUGUGCACAACUAUGUGGCCCUGGUCUCCUUGUUGGCUUACACACAGUCAGACUCUCAGAGGGAAGACGUCCAAGGCCAGGCCCGGCCGGGGUCUGGAGGAGAAGUUUUCAGAGAUGGGCACACAGGUACAGUGCCGGUUCCUGUGGUGUUGCGAACCGUUCCAGCAGCCCGGCCCCCUCAGGAGAAGCCAUUAGCAGAGGCUCGCUGACAUCUGUCCUUCCAUCCAGGGUGUCGCUGGCUUUCAGAAUAAAGCCUGUUUCAAUGUCAAAUGUCUCAUUUUGGGCUAAUCCCCCUGUGGUACAUCAAGCACUGGGAAUUCAAAUGUCAGAAGAAAGCCAAGACGUGCCUCUCUGUAGACAACUGUCAGAGGUGUUCCCUUUGAGGUACACGGAACAUCAGAAACUACAAUUAUUUUGUGACUCAUGCCUAGGUUUUCCUUACUGUAGAAAGCCAUCCAGUGGCUGUUAACAAUAUAUUAAGUAUAAAAACACUAACGGCAAACGUCAAGUCGGCUGUCAAGUUUGGUGGCGUUGGAUUUUUGGUGACAGCCUGGGGGGUGGGCGGUGAUGUGCUUUGGGGGCUCCCGGCCGCAGGACUGGUGUGCUCUUGGGUGGGCGGGCUUUCAACUAGCCAUGUCGUCGGGAUUCGGACCUCACGUCGGAGCGUGGCGGGACCGCGGAAGCGC